CGAUUAUGGACUUUUAAUCCCACCUGUGUAUGCCCCCACAUGGAACUUUCUAUAACUUUCCAUGGAAACCGGGGAUGGAGCAAUAUGUUCAAAGAAUAAUGCUAGAAAGAUUGUAUGCUGAAUCCCACAAGGUACGUGACCCCCACAAAAUAAUAAGCAUACUUCCUAUGGUAAUAAAAUAAUAAUAUAGAGAUUUUGCUACUUUCAAGACUUUGUCCCUUUCAUGUAAAUACAAAUUAUUUUUUUCACAAGUGCGUCGUAGUGUUAGGAAAUAGAAUUGAAGAAACAUUAGAAACGUCAACUAAGACUGAUGUUUAUGAAUCUCGUUUCUUUUCAACGUACUGUAGAAUGUAG